UUCUUCGUAAUAUCAAUCGAUUUUCAUCAACCGCAAUCAGCCUGCUUUCGGUAUGCGGAAGAAAGUUUAACCAGAAAUACGACUUAUUAAAUAAAUUGGGGUCUUUCUUCGUAAUAUCAAUCGAUUUUCAUCAACCGCAAUCAGCCUGCUUUCGGUAUGCGAAAGAAAUAAAUAAAUUGGGGUCUUUCUUCGUAAUAUCAAUUGAUUUUCAUCAACCGCAAUCAGCCUGCUUUCGGUAUGCGAAAGAAAGUUUAACCAGAAAUACGACUUAUGAAAUAAAUUGGGGUAAAACGGUAUAGCAAGAUUCGUGCGGUCAUUGAAUUCAUUUGUAAUCCUAUUUUCAGGUCUUUCUUCGUAAUAUCAAUCGAUUUUCAUCAACCGCAAUCAGCCUGCUUUCGGUAUGCGGAAGAAAGUUUAACCAGAAAUACGACUUAUUAAAUAAAUUGGGGUCUUUCUUCGUAAUAUCAAUCGAUUUUCAUCAACCGCAAUCAGCCUGCUUUCGGUAUGCGAAAGAAAUAAAUAAAUUGGGGUCUUUCUUCGUAAUAUCAAUUGAUUUUCAUCAACCGCAAUCAGCCUGCUUUCGGUAUGCGAAAGAAAGUUUAACCAGAAAUACGACUUAUGAAAUAAAUUGGGGUCUUUCUUCGUAAUAUCAAUCGAUUUUCAUCAACCGCAAUCAGCCUGCUUUCGGUAUGCGGAAGAAAGUUUAACCAGAAAUACGACUUAUUAAAUAAAUUGGGGU